CGAGUAAGACAGACGAUCGCUCCUCGGCAACGCGGAGAGGAAAGUCCGAGCACCACAGGGCAGAGCGCCGGGUAACUCCCGGUGGAGGCGACUCCAAGGAAAGUGCAACAGAGAGAUACCGCCCGCAUUUGCGGGUAAGGGUGGAAAGGCGAGGUAAGAGCUCACCAACGGCUUGGCGACUUGUCCGUUAUGUAAACCCCGCUCGGUGCAAGAUUGGAAUGAGAGCAUUCAAUAGCGGCCCGCUACGCUCCCGGAAAUCGCAUGAGCCCGCCGGCAACGGCGGGACAGAGAUAGAUGAUCGUCCUUUGACAGAACUCGGCUUACGGCUUGCUCGCAAU
rnacentral:RNase_P_RNA from 1 species